CCACUGCUGACGAGUCCUAAACAGGACGAAACAGCCGUUCAGUUC
rnacentral:hammerhead_ribozyme from 1 species